UGAGGAAUAUUGGUCAAUGGGUGCAAGCCUGAACCAGCCAUCCCGCGUGAAGGACGGCUGCCCUAUGGGUUGUAAACUUCUUUUGUAUAGGGAUAAACCUACCCUCGUGAGGGUAGCUGAAGGUACUAUACGAAUAAGCACCGGCUAACUCCGUGCCAGCAGCCGCGGUAAUACGGAGGGUGCAAGCGUUAUCCGGAUUUAUUGGGUUUAAAGGGUCCGUAGGCGGACUUAUAAGUCAGUGGUGAAAGCCUGUCGCUUAACGAUAGAACUGCCAUUGAUACUGUAAGUCUUGAGUAUAUUUGAGGUAGCUGGAAUAAGUAGUGUAGCGGUGAAAUGCAUAGAUAUUACUUAGAACACCGAUUGCGAAGGCAGGUUACCAAGAUAUAACUGACGCUGAGGGACGAAAGCGUGGGGAGCGAACA
rnacentral:rRNA from 1 species